UACGUAGGUGGCAAGCGUUGUCCGGAUUUACUGGGCGUAAAGAGCGCGCAGGCGGUCGUUCAAGUCGCGUGUGAAAGCCCCCGGCUCAACUGGGGAGGGUCACGCGAUACUGAUCGACUCGAAGGCAGGAGAGGGUAGUGGAAUUCCCGGUGUAGUGGUGAAAUGCGUAGAUAUCGGGAGGAACACCAGUGGCGAAGGCGACUACCUGGCCUGUUCUUGACGCUGAGGCGCGAAAGUUAGGGGAGCAAACGGG
rnacentral:rRNA from 1 species